rnacentral:rRNA from 1 species
GAUGAACGCUAGCUACAGGCUUAACACAUGCAAGUCGAGGGGAAACGGCAUUAAGUGCUUGCACUUUUUGGACGUCGACCGGCGCACGGGUGAGUAACGCGUAUCCAACCUUCCCAUGACUAAGGGAUAACCUGCCGAAAGGCAGACUAAUACCUUAUGGUCUUCACUGACGGCAUCAGAUGUGAAGUAAAGAUUUAUCGGUUAUGGAUGGGGGUGCGUCUGAUUAGCUUGUUGGCGGGGUAACGGCCCACCAAGGCAACGAUCAGUAGGGGUUCUGAGAGGAAGGUCCCCCACAUUGGAACUGAGACACGGUCCAAACUCCUACGGGAGGCAGCAGUGAGGAAUAUUGGUCAAUGGGCGAGAGCCUGAACCAGCCAAGUAGCGUGCAGGAUGACGGCCCUAUGGGUUGUAAACUGCUUUUGUAUGGGGAUAAAGUCAAUCACGUGUGAUUGUUUGCAGGUACCAUACGAAUAAGGACCGGCUAAUUCCGUG